UCCAUCUCAUCUCUCUUCUUUCAACUUUUUCAAAGCAACUAGAAGACUCAAGAAGCUCUUUCCCUUUUUCAUACCCACAGGUCCAACACUAAAAGAAAGAAAAGCUCUCAACUCUUCUCUCCCUCUCACACCUACGGGUCCAGCAGCAAGAAGGAAGCUUCUUUCAACUCUCUCAAGCUCUCUACUUCUCAUACUUUCGAGUCCAGCCACUAGGAAAGGGAAAUCCUUUCAUUCAAGAGUGAUUCUAUGUCUAUUUCCCCUCAAGAACCAUAAACUUGGUGUUACCAGUUUCCAAGUCUAAGCUCCUUCGACUGUAGGCUUUCGGUUUGUUGAGGUCCAAAAAAUCACAGCACCCAAGCCCAAAGAAAUAAGCACAAGGGGCCAUGAAAAAUGAAAAGAAAUGGUAAGCCCAAAAGGCUUGAAGCCCAAAAACAUAAAGAGAAAAGACAAGCCUGGAAGUUUAUGAGAAAAGAAGAAAGAAAAAGAAAAGAAGUCCAGAUUAGAAGAUUGAAGAAUUACCAGCGUAAAAAGAAAGCUGAGUCAGGAUCCUCAGAGGCUGUCAAAAGGCUCGGGAUCCCCAAGGCGUGUAGCACAGUCAAGAAAGGAUUAAGACAGCUCAAAGGAAAAAAGCCAAAAGAACACAAGAAACAGAGGAUGAGCAUGUCCUUCAUAGGUACCAGAGAUCCAACAAGAAAAGAAGAAAACCUGGAGUGACUUCUCAUAGCGCAAGUGGACAGUACCUCGGGGAACCAGAAUGAAGGGGAAUAAAAAAGGGAGUAGCAGCAAAGGACUUUCGAAUCGGCAGAGUGAGAUUCCACACAUUUGAGAAAAAAGUUAAAGAAGAAGGACGGCCAAAAGCUGAACCGUGAAGAACGUGACCUCAGCGCACUCCGAAAUAGGUAGUCAGCCAUGGACUUUCGAAGAAAUAACACUAAAAGGAAGAAAAGAAUGAAGAAUAGGGAAAACUGAACCUUCCAGGCGAUGGGCACAACACAGACUCUGGUACCCAGGGGGCAAAACAGGGAAAUCAAUAGUUCCCCGGGACUCCAGAAUAACACUAUAAAAAGGGGGGAAGGAUUGCAAAAAGGGGAUAGAGAAAAAUUUAUAACAGAAUCAUUGCGAAAGUUCUGUUGAGAAGAAAACUUAGAGAAAUUAGUAAAUUACUUCCCGAUAUCCCAGAAAUAGCCACUAUAGCACAACUCGGAUUCAAAAAGAAUCAAACUUUGCAAGUCUUAGAGGCUUGAAUAGCCAUCUAAGACUGUAAUUUUUGAGCUUACUUGAACCUUGUACCACGUCUAAGUGAGCACACUGUAAUCAUAAUAAAGAAAAUUCAAUGAAGCAUUUCUUAUUGAUUUGAGGAUCCCUAACCA